ensembl:lncRNA
UCUCUCUCUCUCUCUCUCUCUCUCUCUCUCUCUCUCUCUCUCUCUCUCUCUCUCUCAUAUUAAAAAAUAAUCUGUUAGAGGAGUUCAUAUUAGUUCCUAUUUUAAUCGGUAAAUGAAUACAAUUUCAAUCAAAUAAGUGCACAUUUAAAAUGCAAUUUUUAAGGCAUAACCAGCAGCUGUGAUCUCAGCAAGGCAGUUAUUCAAUCGGUCCUUUUUAACUCACGUAGAGGUAUAACCCUAUGUAUAGCCCUAGCUAUUAGAAUUGCGUGUCAUCAAAUGCCGGUUAUUGUGAAUCUCGUAGAUCGCCUACUGAUUGUGUCUAGGACAUAUCGGCCUCUCACUCUUUUAAGUGCCUUGCCUUUUAGAUUCCAAGCUCACGUCCAAGCAGUCAACGUGGUAGUCGGCUCUCAUGCGCGGGUGCGAAACAUGUCUCUUUUUUAACGGCAGAAGAGAUCGUGUGCCCCUGCGUUACAGAGGAACGAUCCUCACUCAACUAAGUAUAUCUGUCGAUUUAUAAUAGUACAGAUUUAGUCAGCGCCCGUGGUCCGACUUCUACCCCUUUGAUAUGCACCACACACAAACCUGUGUGGAGCUCGAUUGGUGCAGCUUCACCAUCAGUCUGCUAUGAAAACGUUUUCAAGUAAACAUUUGGAAGUAUGCAAACACGUAAUAGGGACAAGACUAUUUUGAACAGUUAAGUGAUAUCUUUUUUGUCAGUGAAUGAAGAAUUCUGUGGUUAAAACUUGCUCGUUGCGUUAAUAAUUACGACCGUGUAUUGUGCUUUGGUUACUCUAAUUGAAACGACCUUCUACUGUGUAAAAAAAACUAAACGACAACAACUGCAUUUUCUUGCUUUAAGUUUGAUAGAAGAAAAUAACAAACAUGCCAUCUCCAGGUACACCGUUUGCUGUUUGCAAGGGUGGGAAAAUGAUUUGUUUACAUUCAAAAGGAUGGAAAUCAAUUGGCUCACGGGAGGGCAACCCUCAUUAAAGUUUAUGGUUAUUUUGUUUUUGUGUUGAUAUUAUAGCAUAUGAUCUAUUGCAUGUUAUAUUAUGCGAUUUCUUAACCAGCUUAAAAAAAAAGGACAAAAAAAAUCGGUUUGCACUGUCACACUGCCAGAAUAUUUGUAAUGAAUCAGUUCUAGUGUACUAAAGGCUUAUUAACGUCACUUCUGCAAGCUUUGCUGCAACUAGAAACGGUAUUAUCGUAGUUUAUUGUAAUACAUUUUAGGUGUUUGAAUGUUGUGCAUAAAAAACUUGGAUAAAACGAAACAAAACUUUUCUAAACUAUGUUCUUUUUCAUCAGACUUGGCAAAUCUUAUGCUCGGUAUGUCUUUCUAAAUAGGCUGUCAUCCUUUGAUCAACUUAAAUCACUGCGAUUGACUUGCAGGUCUGCACUUAUGUAAUUAGCUAAAAGAAUGUUCAAAUCGUAUUCUCUUUGUAUUAUACCCUUCCGACAGACUGCAGCAUACGCAGUGCUAUCGGUCCACUUUUACAAGGGUAUGAUAAGCUAUUCUGUUUGGGCGUUUUCAGACAUCCAAGUUCAGGAUGUCUAGAAUAGAUAAAAAAAAGCAAAAAAUAAGAUUUAACCAAAGUGGUUGUAUGUAUUUUUGGGACAUUUGACCCUAAAAAUAGAAUGCAAAUGUCAUGUUUAUAUUAUCGCAGUGUUCAGUCCAAAAGUCUUGUCCACGUCUAGAAAUGUACUGUAGACCAAGGCUCUCGUAUUAAUUUCCUAAAGUAAGUUUCCAUUUGUUGACACAUACAUUUAUGUAACGCAGCUAAAGUACUUUGCUAAGGUACUUUACCAAAGUACUAAGUUAGGAAUAACUUUAUAUAAUGUCCAAACAAUGGUAGAUUUUACUCAUUUCAAAUUCAUGGUCAAUUUAUUUCCACGCGUCUAUUAUAAAUUGAAUUAUUAUAAAUUCUAUUUCAGGGUACAUUUUUCCUUUUGCGUUUGUCAAUUGAUACCACACACUAUUCUCUUAGUGAGCAAAUAAGAGGUUGAACUAGCUUUUCUUACAAUAUUAAGGAUUUUAUAGUUGUACCAAAGACCUCUGCUGUUAUUUAUUUUGAAUUACACUACGAUAUUUGAUAUUACGCCUUCGAUAUUCAUCUUUUUUUUUUCAGAAUAAAAAUGAAAUAACAAUUUGAUUAUCACCUAGUACCUUAAAUAGAUUCUCAGAAUGAUUUCCCAUAUCCAUUUAGUCUCUAGGGAUAAAGAAAUAUAAAAUAAAUGGGUCAAAUUCUAACAAAGUAUCUGUAUUUGUAUAUUACAUUUUCUGUGACGUAUAUUCUGGUGUUGCUGACAAAUGUGACAUUGUCUGUUUGCCCGUUGUACCUUAAGCUAACAUACAUUUUUGAACAGUUCUACAUGGAAGGAUUGUCAGGUGCUUUUCUUUUGACUGUUUUUCUUCUUGUUUAAGCUUUUUGUGAUCAUGGCUAGAAAAUCAUUCUGUUUUACUCUGAUCAAUAUAUUCCUUUAAUAAUGGUGACCAGCAUCAAUGGCAAAUACAGACAUAUUUAAAGAAAUCUUGACUUAUGUUACCUGCCCUAAAAAAAAUUCUAUUUCUAAAGAGAUUUUACGAUUAUUUGCUCUGUGAACGUACAGCUUACAUUUAAAAAUGUUCCUUAAAUUUGAUUUAAAUGUAUCCCGAUACUGGACAAAUUGAACUUCUACACCUGUGCCUUUAAUUCAAUUACAAUGAUCUCAAUUGGAAUCAAGGAUAUUUUGUGCCGAGAUUGUGUUUUGAUAACAAGUUGAAUAGAAAAAUACAAGACUUAAUUUUGAUCAAUAUUUCAGUGCCUUAGGACAUUUUGUAGACCUUUUAAAUUAUCUGCUCUUUAACUGAAGGUCCUAAUAAAAGGCUUCUUUGGCUUUGGACAAUUAGAUUAAAAUACUUACAAAAUAACCAACACAUGACACAAGGGUGUCCAAUAUUGUCCAAGGGGGUCCCGCUGUCUGUAUUUGCCAUAAUAUUACAUUGCAGUAAUACCUAAUUUUAUAUUAUUACGACAUCAGUUCUCCAUAAAAAUGCCCAGUUGAUGUAUAAUCAACAUCAUUUGUGGAAUAGUUGCAUUACUGUUAGUUGUUUUGUGAUGUCUUUUUUUUGUUCAAAAAAUAAUAAUUGAGCCUGAAGAUUUAUGCAAUGUUGUACCGGUGCAUACCCUGAGUACAUGUAUACGAGUUAGGCAGUUGGAAUUUAAUAAGUUGAAAGAAAAAUAGCACAAGUUUUGUCAAUAUUGAGGGACAACUUGUUCCAUAUGCCACAAAUAUUUUAAAGUAGGAAUGUUACUUUUAACUUUGAAGCCCGGAAAUAUUGAAUGUAUUCUUGAUUUUAAAUAUACCAUGGAUGGGUCACUGGAGAACAGUUGAAUCAUUAAGAUGUAGCAUCUAGUUGUAAAUCGCUAUCCAUUCAUAUGUACACAAACUAGAACAUGCAAAAUUUCUGAAGUUUCUGUAUGUAUCAGUGUAUCGAAAUGGUAGAGAAAGAAAUGUGAUGUUUCUCAGGGUAAAACAAUGAUUUGAUGGAGAGCCAAUGUUUUUAAUCUGAGGAAACGGCAUUUCACAGAUUUAUUUACCUUGAUGUCGGUUGGUUUAAUACAUUUAUUUAUAAAUGGAACAUGUCCCUUAUUUUGUGGCAAGCUGUUGAUAUGUAGGACACUAUUCUGAUAAUCCCAGAAAAAGAAAUAUUUGUUUGUAUACUGAUAUUGUGUAAUGAACACAAGACAUUACCUGCAAGUCUAUUAUAAUGCUAGUCUCUUUUUUUUUUCUAAAUUAAGAUUUGUGUACUGCAUAAUAUUUUCUUUAGUGUUUUACUAGUUUGUUAACUGUUGUUUAAAUGUUUCACUACGGUUAUGCAAUGGUUUACAGAUUUCACAUUUAUU